rnacentral:rRNA from 1 species
CGAAGGUGCAAGCGUUAAUCGGAAUUACUGGGCGGUAAAGACGCGCGUAGGUGGCUUGAUAAGUUGGAUGUGAAAAUACCCCGGGCCGUCAACCUGGGAACGUGCAUCCAAAACUAGUCUGGCUAGAGUGCGGUAGAGGGUAGUGGAAUUUCCAGUGUAGCGGUGAAAUGCGUAGAUAUUGGAGGACACCAGUGGCGAAGGCGACUACCUGGACUGACACUGACACUGAGGUGCGAAAGACGUGGGGGAGCAAACAGGAUU